AAGACUAGGUGCUGAGAGCUCUCUUAUACCUGCAUUAAGGAGGUAAUUAAACACCCCUGAGCAAUUACACACACCUGUGAAGCCAUGUGUCCCAAACAUUAUGGUGCCCAGAAAUGGGGGGGGGGGGAUUAUGUAUAAACACAGCUGUAAUUUCUACAUGGUGAAACCAAAAUGUAUAUGAAUAGCCUUCAAUAAAAUCGGACAAUGUGCACCUUUA